GAUGAACGCUGGCGGCGUGCCUAAUACAUGCAAGUCGAGCGAACAGACGAGGAGCUUGCUCCUCUGACGUUAGCGGCGGACGGGUGAGUAACACGUGGAUAACCUACCUAUAAGACUGGGAUAACUUCGGGAAACCGGAGCUAAUACCGGAUAAUAUAUUGAACCGCAUGGUUCAAUAGUGAAAGACGGUUUUGCUGUCACUUAUAGAUGGAUCCGCGCCGCAUUAGCUAGUUGGUAAGGUAACGGCUUACCAAGGCGACGAUGCGUAGCCGACCUGAGAGGGGAAUCGGCCACACUGGAACUGAGACACGGUCCAGACUCCUACGGGAGGCAGCAGUAGGGAAUCUGCCGCAAUGGGCGAAAGCCUGACGGAGCAACGCCGCGUGAGUGAUGAAGGUCUUCGGAUCGUAAAACUCUGUUAUUAGGGAAGAACAAAUGUGUAAGUAACUAUGCACGUCUUGACGGUACCUAAUCAGAAAGCCACGGCUAACUACGU
rnacentral:rRNA from 1 species